rnacentral:rRNA from 1 species
GACGAACGCUGGCGGCGUGCCUAACACAUGCAAGUCGAACGGAGAAUUUUAUUUCGGUAGAAUUCUUAGUGGCGAACGGGUGAGUAACGCGUAGGCAACCUGCCCUUUAGACGGGGACAACAUUCCGAAAGGAGUGCUAAUACCGGAUGUGAUCAUCUUGCCGCAUGGCAUGAUGAAGAAAGAUGGCCUCUACAAGUAAGCUAUCGCUAAAGGAUGGGCCUGCGUCUGAUUAGCUAGUUGGUAGUGUAACGGACUACCAAGGCGAUGAUCAGUAGCCGGUCUGAGAGGAUGAACGGGCCACAUUGGGACUGAGACACGGCCCAAACUCCUACGGGAGGCAGCAGUGGGGAAUCUUCGCAAUGGACGAAAGUCUGACGGAGCAACGCCGCGUGAGUGAUGAAGGGAUUUCGGGUCUGGUAAAGCUCUGUUGUUUAUGACGAACGUGCAGUGUGUGAACAAUGCAUUUGCAAAUGACGGGUA